CCUACGGGUGGCUGCAGUGGGGAAUAUUGGACAAUGGGCGAAAGCCUGAUCCAGCCAUGCCGCGUGUGUGAAGAAGGCCUUCGGGUUGUAAAGCACUUUCAGUGGGGAAGAAAGCCUUGGGGCUAAUACCCUCGAGGAAGGACAUCACCCACAGAAGAAGCACCGGCUAACUCCGUGCCAGCAGCCGCGGUAAUACGGAGGGUGCGAGCGUUAAUCGGAAUUACUGGGCGUAAAGCGCGCGUAGGCGGUCUGAUAAGCCGGUUGUGAAAGCCCCGGGCUCAACCUGGGAACGGCAUCCGGAACUGUCAGGCUAGAGUGAAGGAGAGGAAGGUAGAAUUCCCGGUGUAGCGGUGAAAUGCGUAGAGAUCGGGAGGAAUACCAGUGGCGAAGGCGGCCUUCUGGACUGACACUGACGCUGAGGUGCGAAAGCGUGGGUAGCAAACAGGAUUAGAUACCCCUGUAGUC
rnacentral:rRNA from 1 species